UUACUGGGAGCUGGACUAGACGAGAAGUUUUUAAGAAGAUUGUCUUUGGAAAAUAAUGUUUCAGUUUAUUAGGAUGUAUGGUGUGUGUAACAACUGAGCUGCUAGGAAGACCUUUGACAUGCCUGCAGCAAAUCCUGAAGUAUUCCAAUGAAAAUGGGCAUUUGAGCUGCAUUUGCUUGACUCAGAUCAGUCUAAAUGGACUUCAGAUGGCACCUUACAUGCCCUUUCCUCUAUUCCCAUUUAGAACUGAACAUUCAUCAUAUUAGACAGAGAUCAACCGAAGUCACAACCAAGAGAUUUAUGCCAGAACCUGAUCUGAUCUCAAGCAAAAAAUGCCUUCAAUAUAAGAAGAACUGCUGCAACUGAAUUCCUCUCAGAGAGAAGUAUCUGUCAGAAACUCAACUCAAGCUGAUACACAACAUGGAAGCUAAAUGAGGAUUAAAACGAAGCUACCCAGACAUCAAGAAGAACAGAAGGGGAAAGGUAACUCACUCCAGUGUGGAAUAAAGUAAUACAAACAACACGGUAUGAAUCUGCAGAAACCUGAGGCAAAAUGCCUUAAGAAACAAGAUGUAAGCUGUGCAACUAAGGAAGUCUGGGUUUUUAUGGCUAUGAAUCCUGCAUCUCUUUGCAAGCAGCCCACCUUCCUUUAUGGCACCGGCAACACACUUUGGCCCCAUCUUCCAGCCCCCCUCAGCCCCUCUGCAGCGCUCAAGCUUUCUGCCUGGCCCCUCACUGCUGCGGGGGGAGAACACCGCGGGCUACGGCUAGCUCCACGCUGGCCCCGUGCUGGCCAUGUGCCAGCCUGAGGACAAAACACACCAGGUAACUGUUCAUCUCUAAGUCUUUUUCUCAGGGAAUUCUGUCUGGCGUCACGGAUCGUCCGUCUCUGAAGCGAGUUCUGCCUUUUACCCAACUGCUGAUAUUUACAGAAUUGGAAGAGUCUGACUGGAGACAUUUUAGGCUUCAGUUAAAAUUGGCUUAAGUAGACCACUGAAUUCAAUUCUAACUAGGGACCACAAAUAAGCAAAACCACAGCACACUGAAGCAAGUUUCAUGUCCAUAAGAAAUGGGGCUUUUUGUGGGUACACAGAGAGAUCCUGUGUAAGCUUUUACCAGCAUUUUCUGCUGUGGUGAACAAGAUAAGCUAUACUGCGACUUGGCUCUAACAAACUCACAAGCCUUCAUCUUGAUAAUCGACAAUAAUGAGAUUUGCAAGUGGCUACCCAGCCAGUACUGGCCCCUUAAGGGCACGGGUCUGACAUACUACACUGUUCGACUAACACAAAACUGAAAUCUCUAAACUCAUCAUGCGGUUCUAUAUGUUUCUGACUGAGUGCGUACGCUUUUUAAAUCCAGCUCAUGAAGAAAACCCUUAAGAGCAAUGACGCUGAGGGCAAAACUGGCAGGACCAUUAAUUUUUUAAAAUGAAUUCCUACAACAAUUUGAAAAAAUACUCUACAUUUUCCUAUUAGCAUGAAUUACUAGUUUGGUUAAAAAUGUAGGCUAAAACUUUCAAGCUCGUUUGCCUAAAGUUACGCACCUAAACCAAUAGUUAAACAUGUAUGAAUACAGAAGUACAUGCCAGGAUAUGUUUUUGCAGUCAUUUGGUAUGUAUUUCUGGACCUCUUUAUUUUUCCUUUACCUUUUCUGAGGUGGGAUAAUCAGUUCUGAGCACACCAUUCAAGGUGAGAGCAUAUCACUGAUUUAGAACUGAACAUAUCAGCAUGUUUUCCCCUUAUUACUACUGUUUUAAAUAAAUGCUGUAAUUAGCAUUAUAUAUGCUAUAUAAUUAGCAUUAAAUUGCUCUAAUACAGCUACUAAUUCUGUAAAAAGGUAUACAGUUUUCCCAGUGAACUAUGCCAAGUCUUUUUUUUUCUUUUUCUUUUUAAUAAAUAGUUUAAUUUGGACCUAUAAGUAAGACUUACAUGAUAGAUGCAGAAAAGUGCCAUAUUGUGAAGGAGUAGGAAAGGGAGCAACUUAACGAUGUGCACACUCUGAAUAUAUUUUGGCUUGGGAGUUUGGGAAUUUUGGCUAAGAGACAGUGGGUCCAUUAUGAGACCAUGGUAAUAAGACUAAUAGUCAUAACAAGUUAGACCAAUGGACCAUUUAGCUCAGUAAUCUGUGUCUUCUAGGAGCCAACAGUAGAUACGUAGGAAGGGAGCAUCAAAAUCAGAGUCUUCUUGCAGCACUAGGCACUGUUUGGACUGUGGCCUCAUGGAUUAUUCUUUCUUGAAUUUGCCUGCUUAGUUUUUUGGACUCCUGUAAACUACGGCAUCCUCAAUAUUUUGUGCAAUUACAUUUCUUCUUAAGCUGCAGGUUGCAAGAAGAACUGCGUACUUCCAUUGGUUUUGACCCUGUCACCUAAUGAUUUUAUUUGAUAGCUUGUAGUUGUUGCAUUAUGAGAAAGGAUAUACAACCAUUCCCUCUUUAUCUUCUUCAUGCUACUUAUGAUUUUAGACUUCAGUAUUAUUGAAGUUCAGUAAGCCUGCUAGAUGAAAUGAGUAACUCCAGAAAAACACAUCCUUGCAUGCAUGAUAAAUGAGCUAUCAUACAUAAAGAUGCUCCCCAUAAUUAACAUGUUUAGUGAAUACUAUGUUGAUCCUUUUUCAUGUAGCUACAAGAUUCUAGUUAGAUAUUUCAAGCCAACUAUUGUUUCUUCACACAUAAUUGCUACAGAACUUGUAGAAAAACGUCCAUUGCCAGAAGCUCAUGUGAUUUCAUGAGCUGCUGAUAAUCAUACCCAACGAUUUUUCAGACUGGGUGAGAUAUAUCAACCGUAAAAACACUCUUUGCAUGGGACAGAAAAAAGGAAGAAAGAAUGCAGUUGCAAUGUUUAUACGAAAUAUGCAAUCUGGAAAAUAAGAAUGGAAAGUUGCAAUUUUUUCCCCCCUUGUAACCUGGAAACUGUUCAAAAAAACAAUCCCAUUCUACUCUGUAGAUUUCUUUCCAUCUCCCUCUAAGCUGUUGAGAAGUAUUUACAGACCAUGCCAUGCAUAUUCUUAUUAUGAAGUUAUCUUACCUGACCCAUUUUUCAGGUAUCCAUUUGCGUCUACAGUGGUGUACAUGAUGUAAGGACCAGGCUGAUUAACACCAAAAGGCUACAAGGAAAAAAAAAGAAAAAAUUGGCAAAAUUUUAUAUUUAUUUCUUUGAUUUUAGGAACAGACAGAGCUAUACUAAUAAAACAGUAAACCAAAGAGAAACUUUCAUAGAUUAAUAGUUUCCUUAGUAUAUGGAUAAUUCUGAAAUCAAAGUUAUUUUAGUCAUAGCGUUACGCAAAAAUUCAUUUUCAUAAUAAGGCUAAUCUGCUGACUAAGUAAUAUUACUGCUGUCAGUUCUUUUCAAAACACACUUUCAUACACCAAUAAAAAGCUCUCUAAAACAGAUUGUUUUCAGUACAGGAAAUUAAAAAAAAAGAACCAAUACACACACACACAAAAGAAAAACCCAUGCUCCUAACACCUAAAUACUUUAAAAUGUCAGCAUUAGCUUGAGGAAAAAACAUAGGCAAAAUACACAGUGUUUUUUUCCCAAUACUUAAUGUUAUUUUUGGAAGGAGAAAACAAAGAUUAUGAAGAGCCCCAAGGCGUGCUCGCUCGCUCUCUCAAAAAAGAAAAUACACAACAGACAAAUGUUCAACUCUUAAAAAAAGGUGCUUUUAAGAUACCAGGGAAACUGAUCUAAACCAAUCUAAAGCGUCUUUAAAAGUAAUUUCAAGUUCACUUCAAGACCAUACCACAACAAGGUUUACAAUUCAGAGUCGACCAAAGCUUUCUGGCCCUAUAUUUCAUGCAUUCAGAGCUGCCGCGCUUCCAUCGCGCUGCUCUCGUGCAGCACUGCGUCGGGGCAUGUCGCGCAGGGGCAGCGGGUCCGCUGGUGCAGGCCUGACGCAUAAAGGGAACCUGCUUUCCUUCCUGUCAGGCAGGAAAUUGUAACGCAGGAACAAAGUGACACUAUUCAGUCCCAUGGCAGAGGUUUAAUGUUUCCUAAGGAGCUACAAGUAUAGGAAAAAACUAAAAAUUCAAAGAAGUUGUAACUGCCUGUUUUAAAAAAGUAGAAAUCAUUCAAUAUCUUCUGAGACUGUACUGUUUUUAUGGCCUUUUUGAAUCUGAAAAUACAUACAAAAAUUCAACGCUGUGUUACCAUUAUUUAGCACUGUUCUAUUUAAUGAAAGUGACUGAAUAAAGAACUUGUCAAAUGGCAGUAUCUACUUUAAAUAAUUUCUUUUGAGGGAGAAAACAUGUUUAACCAAAGUACAAUUGGGGGGGGGGAGAAAAAAAAAAGUCAAAGGGAGUUGUGGAUCACUGAGUGAUGAACCAUAACAAAUUUAGCUAAGGAACAUUGAGGGAAGGAAACAACAACAAAAAACCCACAAAUAUCUUGUACAGUGGGGAAGGGAAGGGAAGCAGUUAGAAGAAAAGAUUUUCAAGAAAGUUUUAUUUUUCCAUGUUGAUAUGAGGGCAUUAAAUCUAGAAAAAGGUCUUUCAGAUCAGUUGCAGAAAUGACACUAAAAAGAAGAGAUGAUGACACAUUUCACACUAUAGCUCAGAAAAAUAGUAAGUUGUAAACCAUAAGAGUAAGUGAUGAUGAGAUCAAAGCUGGGAAAAUAGUAAUGGCCAGAAUGGAAGGCAAGGAGACAGCAAAGAAGAUGUUAAUGCAGAUCCAUGAGAGAUGAAUAAAUGAGGUGAAAUUUUAGAUUUUUUAAAAAUUAUUAUUUUUUUUUGCCAAGUGGCUGUAUUCUGACAUAACAUACAUCCUGACACUUUCUGACAGAGAGUUUCAUUUACAGUGAAGGCAAUAAUACUUCAAUGAUUUUGAUAAUGAAGUGCUCACCAGCAUCUGUUGUGAAGGUUUACUUUUUCUUUGAAACCUUCUCUUUAGUUUUCCAGUUAAGCUAAUAAUAGCAUCAACCUCCCUUAUAAUAUCACAAAAGAAACUUUAUAUCUUAAAACAGGCUUGAAUAAAAAGUUGGUCCCAUUUGAAACAGUUUUUGGAUUUCCAAAUCAAAAUGAAAUUUCAUAUGGUAGCACAGCUGAAGUGCAAUUACUAGUUUUGAUUUCUCUAAGCUCCUCUUUUAGGCCAGCUUUCACUGUGAACGUAGUAAUUUGUUAACUGAUGGCUUGGUGGGUGGCUUGAGGGGUCUCUGGAGAUAAUUCAAACAACUGAAGUAGAAAUCAGCACAUUUAUAUAUGGUUAACCUGCAGCAUCAUCAGAAUUAAGUUCCUUUCCCUUUCCUUUUCUUUGUUGCAUCCCUUGCUGUACAUCACUGUAUAUUCUGUGCCGCCCAGAAUCUGGCCAUCUGGCAGCCCGUGACUGACUCCAUCAUAUAAUCGGUUUGGCCUGGCCUUUGCAACCACUCAGAGCAAGACGUGACAGGCUAGGCAGCGUGGGCAUCUAGCGGUGUUACACAGGUCUUUCUUACUAGUAUCUGGUGCAUCCCUGCCCCUCUAAUGCUAAGUAAAAAAUGUUGCUGCAGGAUCAGUCCAUUGGUUUCAUCUCUAAGCAGGCAGCGAGAAAACGACUUGGGUUUCAAAAUACGCAGAACGUGGCCAUGCAUGAUUUGGAUGACACACUGCUCCAGGCAGGAACUGUCUCAGUUAUAUGGACAGCUCUCAGUAUAAUUAGGCCCCAGCGUAUUUUGAAGCUAAAUAGUAAUGGGAAGUUAUAGUUAUACUUACUGUUAUUUUCCGAGGGCAGUCAUUAGAACAGAGGCCACUGAGAACUAUGGAAAAACAAAAAUUUAGUUUACAGCGUUUACAUUAACAAGCCAUUUUACAAGUACUACCUCUGAAAUCUAUUCAAGUUUAUUAACUGUCAUGUAGCCAUUAAAAUACAUACAAAAAUUACUGCUAUAUGAGUUAUGUUAAUGUACAAAAGAAUUCCUAAUUUCUUUGAAGUAUACUGCUUUGCUGAAAUUAAUCAGCUACUCGCUGUUUUAUCACACCUAUUUGGUUAACCAGCUUCAAAAGGGGAGAUUUGCCAGGUAAAAGAAUUCCAAAUUAAACCAUGUUAGAAAUAGCGCACCAUACACUUUAUUCAUUAUCUUUCAUUUCUGUCCAUUAAUAAAUACUUGGUAGAGAUCCAACUUUACUGUUUUAAUUGGUAAAAAGGUUAGUAAAGGCUUUUUCUUAUAUUCAAGUUAUAGUUUCAGAACUUGAUUUAAAGAAUUUUUUAAAAGUUGUAAUAAACUGUGAAAAAAUCCCACUAUCUAAUUAUUCUACGAAUUCUAAACUAUUAUAAGCUGACAUCUAUAAUGGUGCUUUUUUUAGAAGGUUUUCUGCAUGCUCAUGUGAAUUAUACUACCCAAACACAGUAACAGAAUUAUUUACAAGGAGGCUUCCAUCAACAUGACAAACCAUUACAGUCUAUUAAGGUAAGAAUAAAGCCCUGACUAAGGAGAAAGUAAUAAAUGCAUCAGCCCCCAGUAGUAGCUGCAAUUCUGUUUAUCUUACAAUGUGCAGAAUAUCAGCAUAAGAAGGAUUACGUGCAUAUAACUGACACGAAAGCAAAUAGAAUUUUUCCAAGGUGAACAUCCAGUUGAUCUUGUUUAUUUUUUUCCUCAUGUGCUCACUUAAGAGUUAUUACUUCUUAAAACUCAAGGAAGAUAGACAGCCAAAGAGCUCUAAAGUUCAACACCUUUGCAGUCUGUCAGAAGACGGCAGGGCAAGCAAGUUCAAGACCUAAUUACUCUCAAUCACAAGUACCGCAAUCUAACUCUGGCCUUGUAAACCGAGGCUCUAGUUAAUUCACAUACCCGUGCCGUAUUAUUUGCCAUUAUAAGCUUUUAUGGUAAGACGUGUUUUGUGCCAUGCAGUGUUUUAGGUUGAAAACAACAAACUGACUCACACAUGGAAACAAACUAGCUCUUGGAACAGAUCAUGGAGAAUAAGGAAAAUACGCACCACGCAAAAGGGCACUGAAAUGAAACCAGCCCAUUUUGCACUAGAUGACAUUUCCAAAUGAUUGGAAAAAGAAUUACAGUAAAGUGGGCUUGAGAUGACAGACGUAUGGGGAACUGACAGAAGCCAUUGUCAGAAAGAAAAUACUGCAACCGCUCACAGUGCAGAUGAAAAUAAGUGCACUUGGCUGUUGUUUCUUGCCUCGGUUUCUGAAAAUAGGCAAGAUAAAAAGGCAGCCAUUGUGGACAAACAAAACAUUUUCAUUCAAGUCAAUAUUGCUGAAAUUUCUUCUGGUUCCUUUUGGUAUAAUUAUAGCGUGUGUGUAAGCAUGAUUACAUUUUUCUCUGAUUAGCAAUUAAUGAGCUAAUCUUCCUCCAAUCCCAAAUAUUAUCAGGCAUGAAAAAUCAGAAAUGAAAAAGUUGAAAGACAGGUACACAUAGAUAUAAUGGCAUUUUUAUAUUGACAACAUUACCUUCAUUUAUCUCCUCACAUAAUAUGUUGUGCAGAAGAUUCACAGAAUCAUAUUAGGGUUUGAAGGGACCUCAAGAAAUCAUCUAGUUCAAUCCUUUCUCUCAAAAAUAAUUACAAAUACUGCAUUAUUUCUUAACUUAUUUAUAAGAAUCUCUAACAUUGGCAACUCUGCAGCUUCUCCAGGAAAUUUAUGUUAGUACUUCAUAAUCCGUCAUUUAAGAUAUUAUUCUUACUAUUUACCCUGUGUAAUUUAACUUUGUUACUUUCUUUCCUAUCCUGCAGGGACAUGCAAAACACUUCCCCCAUCUUUGCAGAAACUCAUUGUGUCCUGAGGACUUGGAUCUUCCUUACAUUUCUCUUUUAGGCUGAAUAACUCAGUUCCACUGUUCUUUCCUUGUAGCUUACAUUUUUAGACACUUGAUAAUUCUCAUUUUUUCUUCAGAAGCCAGCUGAGAGAUGAAUUUUUGAGACCUAAUAUCUGUCUUUGGAGUUUUGCUAGGAUGCCGACGAGGAGAAGGAAAUCGCCAGCGUGAAAGGAAAGAUUUAAAUUGCCUCUUGUUAACAGUGAAAGACAACACGCCUUCUUGUAAAAUCAAAACCACGCAGAAACAAUGAACUCUUAUUUAAAAAGACAAGGUGGUCAAAACUGACAUUAAAAACAGCUAAAAUACUGAAAAUAGUUGGCAGAAUUACUCUGAAUUUAAGUAAACACACUAAAACUCCAGAAAAAAACCUUUGAAAACAAAAAAGACUUUGAAAACAAAAACAUUUUAUAAUGUUGCAGAUUUCUGCAAUCCCUAAGGUUUUCCAUGCUAUGUUUUUUCUUUUCUAGCAUUAUCAUAUACAGGGCGUUAUUAUGGUGUUAUCAUACACAGAAGGUCAAAUAUUCACAUUCCUCUCAAAGUCCUAUUUUUUUUGAUUUUACAGUGAUCACUUACCAAUAACUUUAACAAAAUAGGCAUCUGCUUCAAAGUUAUUUUUUAACGUAUGGAUAGCGAAGUCCUUAUUGAAGUAGCCUUUGCUUAGUACAAUGAUAUCCAAGAUCCCCUGAGGGAGAGAAAGAGGGGGAAAAAAAACAAAGUUAAAAUUAGAAAGCAGGUUUACUCAAAAUAACAUCUAAACCCAGCAAACAGAUUCUCUUAGGUUAAAAAAAAGCAUGCGUGCAAAGGUUGCACCUCCACUACUAAUCGGAAUACCUUUCCGAGGAUAUUAAUCUACGGCCAUUUACGACGGAGCGCUUCACCCGCAGCUACCCAGGACAAGGCCCCUGCUCCACUUCCUUGCUGCCCCUUUGCUGAGAGCGCGGCUCAGGGGAGCGUACGACGGUGGGCACGCUCUGCCUCCCGCGCGCGACGUGCUGCUGCUGGCUGCCACCUCCCAGGGAGCCUCCCGCGCGCCAGCGGGAAUGUCCCGGGGGCCGGCACCGCCUGCCCCGCGUGCUGCGGCCGGUGCUGCUGCGAGGCAGCCGCGCGUUCCUGCUCCCGCGUGGGCAGCAGCCCCCGGACUGCAGCAAGAGACAGGCUGGUUACUGCAGGAAAGAGCUGAACUUACAUCUUCGUAUAUGUCAAAGAAGGUCGCUACCACCGCGUCCUUGAUUUGAUUUAGAUCCGAGAGCUCCCAAUAAACUUUAAACAUACGACGUACACUCUUGCAGCUCACAUUAUUGCACGGGACAUUUUCUAGUAAAAAUGCUUGCUGAUUGCUGUAAAACAUAUAUGUAAAACAACAGAUAAUGUUAUUUCCUUUAAGAGGUCUAAGCAAUAGGCAUUACAAAAAUAUUGUAAAUAAAUAAUUUGAGCCUAAUGAAGUUAAGUAUCAUAUAAACAAAGCUAGCAGCCACCAGAUACUUUAAAUCCAUGAGCACUUACAUUAACCUUGCAGGCAGAAUUACAGCCAGUAUGUAAUGCCUGAUUUAAACCAAUGAAUACACUAAAUAAAUGAGUACAAAUCAGGAGGAAUCAUUUCAUUAACCAUCUACUCAAAAGACCCAACUUAUUCUUACUUUAUUCUGGGACAAGUACAAGUGCAUUUAUCUGCCAUUUUCUUAGUCCCUCCAUGGUCCUUCAGCUUAAAUACUACUUAAAAAGUGACAGUGCAUUUUCAGUGUUUUAUGACAAUCUCUCCCCACAUCAUCUCCAUUAAUAAAUUUUCUUACACAUGAUCUUUCUCUUGCACAAAUUUAAGAUUAAACCAAAUCUCUAUCAGUACAUUUUUCCAUUGUUUCAAAGCAAAAAAAUAUCUACUACCACAGUAAAAAUGAGACAAACCCAAUUACAUGCUUGCUGACAUACAACACACAGAGACAGGGAGAAAGGCUCUGAUACUGAAACAAGAAAGAAACAAACUGAGCACCAGCUCUAAUGUAGCAAAAAAUCUCCCUUCUGAAGAGUUUAAUUAAUAGAGGUCUGCUGGUCAGUGGGAGACCCUCACGGGUGGCGCAGGAUGCAGCUGCACAGUUUGAUGGCGACUAGCAUUACACAUAAUGUCUCUGAAACUGCAAAACUGCCCGCUCACCAGAACCACGGGAACCUUCAGGACUUAACCGACAGGGAGUGCGACGCCUUGGCGGCUCUCCGUCGCUGACUGGGAGCGCGCUCGGCUGCCCCGCUGUCGCGGCCGCGGGCACCGGCCACGUCUCCCCUCGCUUCCCGGGGCGGCCGGGGGGCCCGAGCAGCCACGGUCCCUGGCGCUGCCGAAGCGGGCCGGGCCCCAGCGGCACCCGCCCAAACCCCUUCUUCCUCCUGACCUGGAACACCCCGGCCUGGCGGAGGGUAACAGCCAGCUGCUUCUCCAUACCUUAACGGCCCCUGAUGCUUCCAGGAUGCAGUCCCCCCCCCAGACACACACACCGCACACUGAGUGUGCAUUUCAUGACUUUGAAAACAUCACAAAAUGGAAAACCAAUAACAUCACAUCAACUGCAUCAUGAGAAAAGAGGAAGAUACUAAUAAAAGUGACAAAUGCCACUUUUCUUCACCCUUCUGCAUCAACAAAAGAAACACAAGACAGGCAAUAUGGAAAACAAACAAACAAACCACCAAGCCCUAAAUAGAUGCUGGAGACUGAGAAGUGUACAAUAGGAGAGCUAUCCAGCAGAUUGAAGAGGGGAAAAAAUAAAUAAAAUGAGAAAAACCCGAUGGAGGUAGUGUCUCCUGUGACAGAGCAGCAGAGCUCUGCAGAACCCCUCAUCGGAGCGGGGCGGGGAGCCUGCUAGCGUAUACCGCCUAUUUGGAAAAUUCAUUUCACCAGGAAACUUCAUUUCAUACUAACACUGAUUGGUAUCCAUAGAGUCCUUUCUGAAACAGAACACAAACUUGCCUGUAAAAUUACCAGCUCAAAAGUUGUGCUAUAAAUGUUAACCAUACCUGCAAACACAUACACGUAGGUUUAACUUCACCACUGUGAAAAGUCAUAGAAAGUUUAAAAUCUGUUUAAGAGUCAGUGUUAUCACUUACAAUAACAAAAUUAAGAAUUUGCAGGGUCACAAACAUAAAAACAAUGAAUUCCUACAGUGAAUGAAAACUACUACUAUUGGUGAGAAGUAUGAGCUAAAACAAGGUUUAAGCUUGAACUACAAUAUUAAGCUCUUUUUGGAGAAGAGUUUUUAAGCGGAACUUACAAAAACACAUCACUUGCCUGGCAGCGGAGAGGUUGUUUUCCCGUUCACGUGCUAGCUGUACCAGCUCUCUGAUUAAAAGCUGAGCCUUUUUUCUUGUCAAUCCCAGAAGCAAUUCCUCAGCAUGUAUUUUAUUAAUGGCUUCAAAUUAUUUUAAAUUCUGUACCAGCACUCAAUACCUUUUAUUUCCUCUAGGAGCAUCUUUGAAAAGCACAGUUAGGAGCAUCAGGAUCUUAUUAGGUACAUGGCUUCAAAACAAAUGCCGUAGCCCGAGAGGACAACGCAGCUGUUUCCCCCACCAUGGUCGUCUCCCCCCCUUUAAAAAUGCACAGUAUUUAUAGUAAGGAACUAAGCUACAAACUUGUCUUCAACUCCCUAGUUAUUCAUAUUUGAUUCUUAAUUUUCUCAUGUUCCUUGCUAGCUUGUUCAAAAAUUUGAAAGAUAUAUCCUGAUGUUAGCAUUUGAAUUUGUUAAUUUGCUAAUUUGUUAGCAUUAGUCAGCUAACACUCUUGAAAUAUCAGUUGUUUCUGCUGAAAAUGUUUCUACCACUACAUUUACUCACGUGCAAAGAUUUCUUCCUUCUCUUUGACUAAAAGUGAGUAAACACGACUUUUUUGCUCCUGCAUUCAAACCCUUAUUUGUUGAUAUAUGAGAUAAUUUAUAGAUAUUCAUGACCAUAUCCUUAUCUGCAACACUCAGAAAUAAUUUCUGAAUAAUUAAAUAUGAAAAAAGAAAAAGAAUAAUGCACUCGCACCACAACUUCUAAACUGAGAUAAACAAGGAAAACCAAUGGAAAACGGAAACAAAAACCACCUGUAAGUGCAGACUAAGCCGUAGCAGCUGCCCGGGGCACGACUCAGCAGGAGCCUCGCUGGCCGCACAGGGAGAAGCCAUCUGCCCUUUGCUGCUGCAUCGGCUCUUCGCUUCAGUCAGCGAAAAACCUCCAGAGGUCUGGAUUUGGCCUGUGAGGUGCCAGUUGGGUCCUUACGUUAUUUAUGGCUUUAAUCCACAAGUAUCACCAGAAUCGGAAUGUUUACCUCCGCAUUUUAUUUCUGCCUCAUCCUACAAUUACCAGGAGCAAGUCUGGGACCUUCCUAUUACUCUGAAUGAUGUUUUGAAGGUUCACACCAUUCAAACAAAUCUACCCGUAACAAUGAAAACCUACAAAGAUAGCCUUGAAAAUGGCAAAACCACAUGCCUGAAGGGUUCUCAGAAAGCGCUCAAAGACAGGCUACGUGACAACGAUAACUUAUGAAACCAACGCUCACGUGUUACACUUACGUGGCAGUCAGUAUGAAACAGUUUAGCUGCAAUGCUGAGAAGCGGCCGAGCGAUGCAAGUCCACAGCGCCAAGCCGUGACGUGCCACUCGCAGCACUAUCACUAUUUAAACGUUCUCACCAAUCCGCACACAACGGCACCAGCUUGUGUGCCAUCUGCACAACUUCAUCCCAGUGAACUUCUUAAUAUUGCUCAAGAAAGUGUCGCGCUACUUCCCAGACUGGAACCUCCUGACCGGAGCUGGUACGUGCAGCAAAGCGAGAUUUAAUAAGGCUGCAUUGCUACAAGCAAAGCUUAAAGCCAAAGAAAGACUGAAGAUAUAUUUAUCUGAGUUUUAUUUUAACAUAUUGCUUUCUGGUUAGAAUUAAAUAUUUACUGCUUAAUUUCA